AGUGAUGAAGGUUUUCGGAUCGUAAAGCUCUGUUGUUAGGGAAGAACAAGUGCGAGAGUAACUGCUCGCACCUUGACGGUACCUAACCAGAAAGCCACGGCUAACUACGUGCCAGCAGCCGCGGUAAUACGUAGGUGGCAAGCGUUGUCCGGAAUUAUUGGGCGUAAAGGGCUCGCAGGCGGUUUCUUAAGUCUGAUGUGAAAGCCCCCGGCUCAACCGGGGAGGGUCAUUGGAAACUGGGAAACUUGAGUGCAGAAGAGGAGAGUGGAAUUCCACGUGUAGCGGUGA
rnacentral:rRNA from 1 species